AAGCCGCGACAGGGAGGCGGGGAGGGUGCGUGCGAACAUGACGCAGAGAUCCAUUACUGCGCGCGGCGGGGAAGAGGACGCCGCCGGGAGCUGGUGCGUGACACACUGCAGCCUCGCGGGCUGCCCGGGACUUCAUCAAGCCCGGGUCGGCUCGGGGCGGGCAGGGGUAGGAUCCAUACCGCCGAACUGCGGCCCCGCUGCUCGCAGCCGCUCUUCCGGGAGCGCCCGCUUAGGACUCACUCCCGCCCAUUCCUUACCUCGAUGGAAUCCUUAGCCCUUAGAGAGAGGGCUAAAAAACAAAUAAACAAACAACAGACAAACAAAAAAAAAACCAAAUUCCAAAUGGCCCCCGGACCCUCCCGCAGAUGCAGGGCGCACACUGGCCAGUUCUAACCAUAGACUUGACUGCAUGUUGACAAGGGUUUCCAACCUAGCUUCCCCGAGGUACUGCAUGAAUCAGUCCUUGCUCAGAUGGUGGUUGCUGUAAAUAGCUGCAAUUUCCCUCCUUCCGUCUCAAAGCACGGAUGGGAAUGGAUUUGCAGCAGGGACUCUGCAUUAUAUUUAAGGUCUUGGUGAGAUGGACACGGGCUCCAUCAGCUCCAGACUUCCUGGGACAUCUCGGCAUUUCCAGGUCCGUUUGCCCCAAUGGUGGAAGUCACCGCCCAUAUAUGAGGAAAUAAAUGUCCACACCUAG
rnacentral:lncRNA from 1 species